ACUAUUUUGGCAGAUAAGUGCAGUAGAUUUAGAAUUUAUUUAUGUAGAUUAAAUAUCUAUAAAUAGUA
rnacentral:tRNA from 1 species